CCACUGCUAUCGGGAUAGGACUAAGACAUGCUAGUCGUGUGCCUCAGCCAAAACGAGGCACGGCGCACAGCUCAGUAACACGUGGCUAACCUGCCCUUAGGACGAGAAUAACCCCGGGAAACUGGGGCUAAUGCUCGAUAGGUGAAGAACUCUGGAAUGAGUCUUCACUUAAAAGAGUCUGCGUUAUGCUCGUAGAUUUCGCUUAAGGAUGGGGCCGCGACCGAUCAGGUUGUUGGUGAGGUAAUGGCUCACCAAGCCUUUUACCGGUGCGGGCCGUGAGAGCGGGAGCCCGGAGAUGGGCACUGAGACAAGGGCCCAGGCCCUACGGGGCGCAGCAGUCGCGAAAACUUUGCAAUACACGAAAGUGUGACAGGGCUAUCCCGAGUGCCAUCCGCUGAGGAAGGCUUUUACCCAGUCUAGAACGCUGGGGGAAUAAGGAGAGGGCAAGUCUGGUGUCAGCCGCCGCGGUAAUACCAGCUCUCCGAGUGGUGUGGAUGUUUAUUGGGCCUAAAGCAUCCGUAGCUGGCUAAGUUAGUCCCCUGUUAAAUCCAACGAAUUAAUCGUUGGAUCGCGGGGGAUACUGCUUGGCUAGGGGACGAGAGAGGCAGACGGUAUUUCCGGGGUAGGGGUGAAAUCCUAUAAUCCCGGGAAGACCACCAGUGGCGAAGGCUGUCUGCUAGAACGCGCCCGACGGUGAGGGAUGAAAGCUGGGGGAGCGAACCGGAUUAGAUACCCGGGUAGUCCCAGCUGUAAACGAUGCAGGCUAGGUGUUUGGACGGCCACGUGCCGUUCUAGUGCCGCAGGGAAGCUGUUAAGCCUGCCGCCUGGGGAGUACGAUCGCAAGAUUGAAACUUAAAGGAAUUGGCGGGGGAGCACCACAAGGGGUGAAGCU
rnacentral:rRNA from 1 species